AGAAGAAAUGUGCUCAUACCUAUCGUAUACAGUGUAAUGUUCUUUAGUAGGAAUUACCAUAAAAAAAUAAUAGUUUAAUAUGUAAAAUACCUAUUACAGAUGUAAACAGUUUUAUAUAGAUAAACAAAAGGUGAUGGCAUCAAAGAUGAGAAGAGAAGGAUAGAUGUUCUGGUCACUUACAAACAGUAGAGCCGGGAUCUGAGACAAAACUCCACCACCUGGUAUGAAAAUGGCAGAUAACCCAUACAUAUAUAAAUCUCCUUCUCUCCUCGGGUCUACCAGAAGAUAUGAAAUAACAGGACUCUCAAACUUAUGACCAGUGUUGCUGAUAGUAUGGUGUCUCUCUAGUGGUGGGCUUAACACAAUAUGGCCAUGUGGUGGAACUGAAUCCCAAUAUUUGUUUGCUAAGAUUCGGUAGCCUUAUAAAAUGUAAAGCUGUAUUUUUGUUUUUGUGUGUGUGCUGUUCAUUUAACUGUAUUUUGUAUAGAUUCUGGUCUUAGAAAUGCAUGUUCUGGGUGUGCCUCCAAUUCCUUUCUAUAUUUUGUCCAUUUUGCUCCAGACCAGAGCGUGAUGAUAGUGAAUUGAAACGUUG